AUUGAACGCUGGCGGCAUGCCUUACACAUGCAAGUCGAACGGUAACAGGUUAAGCUGACGAGUGGCGAACGGGUGAGUAAUGUAUCGGAACGUGCCCGGUCGUGGGGGAUAACUACUCGAAAGAGUGGCUAAUACCGCAUACGACCUGAGGGUGAAAGCGGGGGACCGUAAGGCCUCGCGCGAUUGGAGCGGCCGAUAUCAGAUUAGCUAGUUGGUGGGGUAAAAGCCCACCAAGGCGACGAUCUGUAGCUGGUCUGAGAGGACGACCAGCCACACUGGGACUGAGACACGGCCCAGACUCCUACGGGAGGCAGCAGUGGGGAAUUUUGGACAAUGGGCGCAAGCCUGAUCCAGCCAUGCCGCGUGCAGGAUGAAGGCCUUCGGGUUGUAAACUGCUUUUGUACGGAACGAAAAGACUCUGGUUAAUACCUGGGGUCCAUGACGGUACCGUAAGAAUAAGCACCGGCUAACUACGUGCCAGCAGCCGCCGUAAGAC
rnacentral:rRNA from 1 species